CCUACGGGCGGCAGCAGUGGGGAAUAUUGCACAAUGGGGGAAACCCUGAUGCAGCGACGCCGCGUGAGUGAAGAAGUAUUUCGGUAUGUAAAGCUCUAUCAGCAGGAACGAGACAAGACGGUACCUGACUAAGAAGCCCCGGCUAACUACGUGCCAGCAGCCGCGGUAAUACGUAGGGGGCAAGCGUUAUCCGGAAUCACUGGGUGGAAAGGGAGCGUAGACGGCUGAGCAAGCCUGAAGUGAAAGGCGGGGGCCCAACCCCCAGACUGCUUUGGGAACUGUACGGCUGGAGUGCAGGAGAGGUAAGUGGAAUUCCUAGUGUAGCGGUGAAAUGCGUAGAUAUUAGGAGGAACACCAGUGGCGAAGGCGGCUUACUGGACUGUAACUGACGUUGAGGCUCGAAAGCGUGGGGAGCAAACAGGAUUAGAUACCCCAGUAGUC
rnacentral:rRNA from 1 species